AAUGAACGCUGGCGGCGCGCCUAAUACAUGCAAGUCGAGCGAGAAGACGUAGCAAUACGUUUGUAAAGCGGCGAACGGGUGAGGAAUACAUGGGUAACCUACCCUCGAGUGGGGAAGUAACUAGCCGAAAGGUUAGCUAAUACCGCGUACGCUUCUUGGACUUCGGUUCAGGGAGGAAAGCGAUGCCGAGGGUAUCGCGCUCUUGGAUGGGCUCAUGUCCUAUCAGCUUGUU
rnacentral:rRNA from 1 species